UCUUUAGAAGUGUUGUCUAUAACAAGUAAUUUUUUAAACGCAUAUUAUCUCUUCAGAGGUUCUUCUCCGCUACAGCACGUCUUUGAGCGUAACUCUGACAGGAGUAGAUUGCUGCAGUCCCUGCCAACUCAGUUUUGAUAUGUCGGACGCUUCGCCGUCUAAUAGCUCUUCUGCUGUCCCAGUCGAGCUACCGGUACUCAGUCUCCGUAAUGUAUCAAACCGUAUUUCUUUACUGCUUCGUCUUCGUGAAUACCUAUAUGGGUUAGCUGAUAAUGAAGCUUGAAUACUAUAUCUACCAUGAGUAGAAAAGGCAAAACCGGCACAUAGGAAAGAUUGUUCUUCCUUACCACACUGACAAACUCUUGACAUACCGCUUAAAUCUAAACAAACAAUUUUGCUUUUAAAAUUGUACGGUCUCUGACGAUGGCAGCUUCUUCUCCAAUGAUCUGAUGUCGAAAUCUUUGUUCUGAAUAGCGUUCACAUUACCAUGCGAAAAGACAAAAUUUUCAGCAAUCUUAUCUUCGCCGUUUGAGUUUGCGUCAUCCCUAUAUUGUUCUGGGCUAGAAUUGUCAGAUGCUGUCGAAACGGCAAGCGCCAAGAUAGCGAGUCCUACACGGUGGACACAGAUUGAUUUAUCCUGACAAGACUUUCUUAUGGGACAAUUUUCAAAUUGUUGGUCCCUUCCUCUGACAUUAAUACAUGAAUCUUGACUAUUCAAAUUAAUUUCAUUCCAAAUCAAGAAAUUUGCUCACAAUAAAACAGCAAGGCAUAUCAUCAUCGUUCAAAAUAGCGAAUGGUAAUUUUUCAUUUAUUUCAAAUCCAUUCAUUUUACAUUCAAACUUGACUGCUCCCCCUUAAUAUUGCCUUUGGAACAUUAAUUCCUACCAAUACGUUGUUAUUCAAUUCGUCGAACUCUAACCCUUGAUUGUUUUCUGCUAAAAACUUUACUAUGCCUUUCCCUAUUAGUUAAACUUGCGAGCCAGUAUCGAUCAACGCACAGAUUUUGAUAUUUCCUACUUCUAAAAUGCAGCUAAUACCUACAGACGAAUUGUGCUUGCAUUCUGUUAAGCAAACCACCGCAACCGUAUCUGGUUCGACAUCAACGUUGGACUUGACAAUCCUCAGCCCCUACAGCCGAUGCGUCAACGAAUAAUUCGACCGGUGCUGCCCCCUUCCGAAUAAUCUGAAAACGAGAGCGUCACCUCACCUAGCAGUUUCUCCCUCAACUGAUUGAAUGCGGCCUUCAUCUCGUUAUUCCACGUCUACUUAACCUUCUUGUUGCCCCCUGGCAGUUCAGUUAAAGGUUUUUCUAAGCUGGAACAAUCUUUUAGAAAUCUCCUACCGAAAUUAAAUAACCCCAAAAAACUGUCUCAAAUCUGUUACAUUGGUCGGUCUUGGAAAGUUACGAAUUUUGUCUGGCUCCUACUCAAUCCCCUCUACUCCUAUGACUUGACCUAGAAAACUAACCUCACUCCUAAAAAUUAAGAGAUCUUCACUUAAAUACCAUUUUGACCUAAUGUGUUACACUAUUCUGACCCACUUCUCUACUAACUCUAAAUGCUCCUCAAAGUUUUUCUAAGAAUCAAUAUGACAUCUAUAUAAACUAACACGUUAUUGAAGCGAACGUCAGCUAAAAUUCUCUGCAUAUUUUUCUGAAACGCUCUAUCGCUAUUUUUGUGACCGAAAGAUAAGGUUUUGAACUGAAAGUGACUGUGUAGCGUGCGAAAUGCCGUGUAUUUUCGGCUGCUAUUUUCCAAAGGUACUUGGUAAUAACCCUUUAUGAGGUCUAAUUUAAUGAAAAUUUUUCUAAUAUGAGCACUGUAUAUUUGUUCCUCUAGAUCUGGCAUAGGAAAUUUCUCUGUGAUGGUCCUCUCAUUGAUCUUCCUAUAAUCUAUGCACAUCCUAAUUUCUCUCUCUACACUACCAAGGCUGGGCUUCUUCAAAACAGGCACUACGGGACUACCGUACUCCAUGGCGAGUAACUAUUCUCUAUUAUACUUAUUUCUUACAACUCUUCACACUGCCUAUCUAUUUCCCUAUUAAUUGGUCCUGAACAUUUUCUAGGUCUCUGCCGAAUUGGUGCAUUAUCGCCUAAUUCUAUUCUAUGCGGGAUUUCUUCAUCCCUGCCUAUAUCUACAUCAUUCUUUUUUAAAGCAGCCAGGGUUUUGGCCAACAUACGAUAAACAGCUGACUUUUGAUCCCCAUCGAUGUUAUCUUCUAGCUUAAUUUAUCGCGUAUCUUCCUUCUGACCACAUAUCUAACGGUUCUUCUCUUGGCUCUACUUCUACUAACGUACUUACAAAUCCUAACCUCUUCCCCUCCUUAAUUCGGCCUUUCUUGGACUACGUACCUUUCCUAAGCUGUACUGAGCAAGCAUAAAAUUAACUCUAGAGCAGCUCAAUUCGGUAUCUUCAGCAGCCACAAAUGGUACAUCUUCAUGCAUGACAUAAGUAAUACUGCCGUCUUCAUCAAUAUAAAAAAAUACUGCAUCCAUUCCUAUCCGCUCUAAAAACAAUGAGUUUAGACAUAUUGACACUUGUUUAAUACAUUGAAAAAAUUGUAAACCUAAAACAAUAUAGAAUGUCAGCACAUCAUCAGGAAGGAAGAACAUCAUAUUCACAGAUAAAUUUUCCUAAUCCUAUAGCUUCACAUUAUGAAUUAGUCCUAUCAAUUGUUUUUACCUUGAUACUCCCCAAACCCACGAUGACAUUUUUUAAUCUUUCGUCAAGAACUCUUUCACAUAUGUCACAAAUGCUCUUCUUAAUAAUAUUCACACCAACUCCACUAUCAAUUGCUGCACUCAGUUUCCUAUCCUUAACAGUAAACGGGAUUUUAGUCAAUUUUCCCGGUAACAAAUUUAAUAAAUUAAAGACUUGAAAUACCUGGGAAGUGCUCACCUCCAUCAUGCCGGGUGCAUUUGCAAAAUAACCGAAUAUCUCUUGCCGCUUUUCAGAUCGAAAGGAUUGCUGUUGAUAUGAUUGUUGUGGUUGAUCUUGGCAAGGUUGCUGGUGCGGAAGGUAGAAGGGUUGCUGAUGCGGAAGGUAAAAGGGUUGCUGGUGCGGAGGGUGAAUGGGUUGCUGUCGAUGUUGAACGAGUUGUUUUUGAUGUUGAACGGGUUGUUGUCGAUGUUGAACGUACAGCGUCUGAAAUACAUAUUGAAGCUCAUUUAUCAACGCCGCAAAGCGAUUACGCCAUGGGUUCAUAUGCUGUCUCGAGUGGUUGGAGGUCUUCCUACGUACUGCUCCAGACAUUCCUCCAUCUGUGCCGAAGCGAUCUUGUUUCCCGACAGUCUACGCUGUUGAGGAUAACUUGCAAUUUAGGGCCUUCUAAGAUCUUUCUGGUUGGAGUAUCGUUGAGGAUUUCUGUUGACUUCUAUUCUUGUUUGAUGCUUGUGGUUGCGAUUUGUACUUCUGGUUUUGUGGUUGACGUCUAAAGUUCCUCGGACAGUUAUUAAGAAAAUGGUCGUAUGAUCCACAAGAAAAACACAAAUUCAAUUUUUUCUACAGUUAGUUUUGACAUGACCAAUCCCCACACAAUAAGCACAUGUUGUGUUCCUAUCCAUAAGUUGUUGAGGUGGUCUAGUAAAGUUGUCAUCCGGUUUUCAAGUUGUGCACUUUUCUAUCGCACUGACAAACUCUGCUUUUUGGACAGUCCGAUAUUUAUAAUGAUGUUCUCCGUAUCGGUCGUUUUCACUUCUCCACUACUCUCCACGUCACUCACACAAGCAAAUUUCUUCAAUUCCUCCCACUUCAUUUUCUAAUUCUCCAUCUUCAUGUUCAUUACUUGGUUCCUAACUAUUCUUUUAGCAUUUGAGGGUAACAGAGAUAUGAAAUUCUACGAAAGUGUUUUACUCGUCUGUGUAUCUUUUUUAGGAAAAGCCACGCUGAAUAGCUUCUCUGAUCUAGUUGCCAGCAAAUAAAAACUUUCACCACUGAUGUACUCAACUUUGAAAAAGUUGCUCCGGUUUUCUCUUUCGCGGCAGCUACUCUUUGUUGUACCAUUUCGCCAAUUUCCUGGUUAGACUGUCAUAGGUGUCGUCGACAGACAACGGAUUUGAACGCUCGUAGCUUCUCUCCGUGUAAUUUGGCUUCCAACUCUCCUAUCCAAAACAAUGACAUUCCUUUGAAAUUCUCCCGACAACACGUUACAAACAUUCUAAGAUACUCUUUCAAACUCAUACGUGAAUCUUCGUCAAAGUUAGAGAAUGCUGACGUCUUUCUCAUAUUGUAGCUGCGCUAUAUACUUUCGUCUUUAGUUGUCCAGGUUCACGCUGGUGAAGAGUAAGAUGCGUGGCAUUUGCACCCGUCUUUUAGAACGGCGUUUAGAGUGGUCACUGAAGCGCGAACCAUGAUCGUAUUUGGGGUUGCUGGUGUGUAUCUGAGUAUAAGUAUACCACUAAAUUUAUUGUAACGUUAUGGUCAACUCGUUCGUGCUUGUUCUUAAAUUAUCGCAUUUAUUUUUUGCUGAUUUCGUUCUAAGUGACGGAUAAGUUUAUUGACUCAGUCGUUUCCCUAAUUGAAAUAAGAUAUAAAAUCACCCGGAACUCUUGACUCAGGGUGCCCUGUGAUUUAUUAAGAUUGUAAUAUCGACUUGUAAAUGUUUCAAUUGUAAAGUGUCUUGGGUAUAUACCGACAUGUUGCCUGAUCGAUCUUUAUUCUGUCGCUGUGGAUGUAUUGAGGUAGGAUCUAAAUUUAUUCGCUUGUGUCCUGUUAUUUCAGGUGGAUGUGGGAUUAAAAUGCAUUUCUGUCCUAGCGUUUUUAACGUAAAUUGAAUUUGAAGAUGGUGCUGGAGCGGAGACUUGGCGGGGAACAUUGUCGCCAAUGACCAGUGACGCCUAAAUUUUUGAAAGUCUCUUGCUAAAGACUUUUGAAUCUCGACUGUAAUGGAAAUGAUGCAGAUUAGUGUCUGCUGAAUUAAUCUGACUACAGCCGCUCUGAUUUUGGGACGGAGUCCAGGUUUCCUGUGCAAGAAUUUUGGAAGGAAGCUCUGAUGGUUCUCUCCACCUUUGGUCCUGUUUUAUAGUGGUGUUGAUAACUCGUGUGGUAGUUUUAAAGUAAUUAUCUUAUUGGUAGGGGGUAGUAUAUAAUCACGUUUUCUAAGAGGUUAUCAGCUUCUCUAAUGAAAUGCAGCAGCCUGGAUUUGCCAACUUAUUUCGAGGUUGUCCAAUUUUUUUAUUUUUCACUAUCCUUUUGGGGUUAGCAUAAAUUUGUUGGAAGCUCUCCCACAACAUAAAAUUUGGUGGCCACUAUAUGGACUUUGUCUGUCGCGGUGUUCAAUCAUAGACGUAAUACUGUUAGUUUGCCAAAUUCAUUGUUGCUAAUGCUGAAGUUAAUUAUAAUGAUGGCGUGAAGCUGUGCCAGAGUAAUUAUAACUAGAUUGCUUCUAGUUCUAGAAAAGACUAGACUAUUCUUUGAAAUAAACUGAAAUAAUUAUUGAUCACUGUGUAUUAACAGUAUUGUCGCAUAUUCAUGUUGAAAGCGGGCUGUAUAGUCAGGUUCAUCAUGGAAAAUGAGUCAAUCUCUUUGCCUAAUCUUUUACGGGCUAUCUAUUUUCUGUGAUAUGUCCGACUGUCGGAGAAUAGUGCAACGUCUUGGGAGGGAGGAGUGUAGCGAACCAAUUUUGGGUCGCGCUGUUAGUUUCAAGUCGCCGCAGUUCUCCGACUAAGACUGAAGCUGAAAAGUUUAGGAACGCAUCUUUCGUUGGGCGUGGGGAUCAUUAGUCUGUAGCUGGGCUCCACUCGGAACUCUUUUCAUUGACCGUUUGUUUGCAUUUUCGCAUGCUGUAAUUGUAUUUCCAUUACCAUGACCAUUGUGUAAGCUCAUAAUCAAAGGAUUAACCAAAUACGUUACGUGUCCCUUUACUAUAUCGCACUCUGUAAUUCCUCAACCUCGUAUGUAAGGACCCGCGGGCAGAGAUCCUUGAUGUUUGAAUGUAGCUAGUCGUCCCGCUACAAUAACAAGUAUUCCUACUGCUUCAAUCAACUGCGUGAAUGUGUCCGUGCGUCUGCGUUGCUUAUUCUUCGAUUGGGGUUUGCUGGUUUUCUUGCUUGAUGUGUCAUCUUCGCUGUUGGAAUUUCACUUAGCGUGUCCUUUGGGUUGCUGGUUGAGUCAGUGUCAGAGUUUCGUGAGUUUACUGAUGUUUUCAUGUAUCUUUUCUUUGGGAUCCUUUUCGUGUAUAUUUUUUUAUUCUCCCUUGGCUACACGGCCCUUUUCACUCUUCAUUUCAUUUUGCUGCUCUUCUAGUGCCUUUACUGCUAAAUCAAAGUUGUUUGCUUUAACACGGAGUAGCUCGUCUCUAGUUUUGGUGGAAAUAAUGCCUGUUCUUGUUUUUACUGCUGUCAUAAAUUUAUCAAUAUGCUUCAAGUUUUCUAAUAUACAAUCCUCUUCUUCUGCCUGGCGUAAGUCAAGGGACGCCGCCAUGAUGAAGAAAUGUAAACGAAUUUAUGAAGAAAAUAUAUAAUGGCAUGACUAUGAGUGUGAAGACACAAAACACUAAUAAACAAUCAACAAAUAA
rnacentral:lncRNA from 1 species